UACGGAGGGUGCAAACGUUAAUCGGAAUUACUGGGCGUAAAGCGCGCGUAGGCGGUUUGAUAAGUGGGAUGUGAAAGCCCUGGGCUCAACCUGGGAACUGCAUUCCAAACUGUCAGGCUAGAGUAUGGUAGAGGGAGGUGGAAUUUCCUGUGUAGCGGUGAAAUGCGUAGAUAUAGGAAGGAACACCAGUGGCGAAGGCGGCCUCCUGGACAAAGACUGACGCUGAGGCGCGAAAGCGUGGGUAGCAAACAGG
rnacentral:misc_RNA from 1 species